UACGAAGGGGGCGAGCGUUGUUCGGAUUUACUGGGCGUAAAGGGUGCGUAGGCGGUUAUUUAAGUCUGCCGUGAAAUCCCCGGGCUCAACCUGGGAAUGGCGGUGGAUACUGGAUAGCUAGAGUCCGGAAGAGGAGAGUGGAAUUCCUGGUGUAGCGGUGAAAUGCGCAGAUAUCAGGAAGAACACCCGUGGCUAAGGCGGCUCACUGGCCCGAUACUGACGCUGAGGCACGAAAGCGUGGGAGCAAACAGG
rnacentral:rRNA from 1 species